rnacentral:rRNA from 1 species
GAUGAACGCUGGCGGCGCGCCUAACACAUGCAAGUCGAACGGAUAAAGCACCAUUUUGGUGUGUAUAAAGUGGCGAACGGCUGAGUAACACGUGGGCAACCUGCCCUCCUCUUGGGGAUAGCCUCGGGAAACCGAGGAUAAUACCCGAUACUUCAAUGUUGCAGCAUGACGUCAUUGAGAAAGCUUUUGCGGUGAAGGCUGGGCCCGCGGCCUGCUAGCUUGUUGGUGGGGUAGAGGACUACCAAGGCAAUGAUGGGUAGCUGGGUUGAGAGACCGACCAGCCGGAUUGGGACUGAGACACGGCCCAGACACCUACGGGAGGCAGCAGGGGGGAAUCUUGCACAAUGGGCGAAAGCCUGAUGCAGCGACGCCGCGUGCGGGACGAAGGCCUUCGGGUUGUAAACCGCUUUCAGCAGGGACGAGGCGAUAAGUGACGGUACCUGCAGAAGAAGCCCCGGCUAACUACGUG